rnacentral:rRNA from 1 species
GGAGCAUUGAAUGCGGGAAGAAGCUGUACCGAAAGGAGCAGUGGACUGCAUUGAAAAGAGAAUGCCGGAAUGAGUAGCGAGAAAUAGGUGAGAAUCCUAUUGGCCGAAUAUCCAAGGAUUCCAGGGUAAAGCUGAUCUGCCCUGGGUAAGUCGGGGCCUAAGGCGAGGUCGGAAGACGUAGCCGAUGGACAACAGGUGGAGAUUCCUGUACUGCAUAUGGUCAGAACUGUGGGGACACGGGGUGUUAACGGAAGCCGGGAAAGGAAAGACCGGUCCAAGCACAGGAGGCGUUGCGCAGGCAAAUCCGCGCAAUAAGCCAAAGGUGUGACGGGGAGCGAAAUUAUAGUAGCGAAGUCCGGAUACAUGCUGUCAAGAAAAGCCGCUAUUGCGCCAUAUGUACCCGUACCGUAAACCGACACAGGUGGAUGAGGAGAGAAUCCUAAGGCCGGCGGGAGAAGUGUUGUUAAGGAACUCGGCAAAAUGGCCCCGUAACUUCGGGAGAAGGGGCGCCCAGAAAUGGGCCGCAGAGAAAAGGCUCAAGCAACUGUUUAGCAAAAACACAGGUCUAUGCGAAACCGAAAGGUGAGGUAUAUGGGCUGACGCCUGCCCGGUGCUGGAAGGUUAAGGGGAGAGGUUAGCCGCAAGGCGAAGCUUUGAACUUAAGCCCCAGUAAACGGCGGCCGUAACAAUAACGGUCCUAAGGUAGCGAAAUUCCUUGUCGGGUAAGUUCCGACCCGCACGAAAGGCGUAAUGAUUUGAGCACUGUCUCGACAACACACCCGGUGAAAUUGAAAUACCAGUGAAGAUGCUGGUUACCUGCGCCAGGACGGAAAGACCCCAUGGAGCUUUACUCUAGUUUGAUACUGGGACCCGGUAUGACAUGUACAGGAUAGGUGGGAGGCAGAGAAUUAAUGACGCCAGUCAUUAAGGAGCCGCUGUUGGGAUACCACCCUUGUGAUGCCAGGUUUCUAACGAGCUGCCGUGAACCGGCAGGCGGACAAUGUCAGGCGGGGAGUUUGACUGGGGCGGUCGCCUCCGAAAGGGUAUCGGAGGCGCUCAAAGGUUCCCUCAGAAUGGUUGGAAACCAUUCGGAGAGUGCAAAGGCAGAAGGGAGCCUGACUGCGACACCGACGGGUGGAGCAGGUACGAAAGUAGGACUUAGUGAUCCGGUGGUAUAAAGUGGGAUUGCCAUCGCUCAACGGAUAAAAGCUACCCUGGGAUAACAGGCUUAUCACUCCCAAGAGUUCACAUCGACGGAGUGGUUUGGCACCUCGAUGUCGGCUCAUCGCAUCCUGGGGCUGGAGUAGGUCCCAAGGGUUGGGCUGUUCGCCCAUUAAAGCGGUACGCGAGCUGGGUUCAGAACGUCGUGAGACAGUUCGGUCCCUAUCCGGCGCGGGCGUAAGAGAUUUGAGAGGAGCUGUCCUUAGUACGAGAGGACCGGGAUGGACGGACCACUGGUGUAUCUGUUGCACCACCAGGUGCACGGCAGAGUAGCCAAGUCCGGACGGGAUAAACGCUGAAGGCAUCUAAGCGUGAAGCCCCCCUCAAGAUGAGAUCUCUCAUUCGAAAGAAGUAAGACCCCUUGAAGACGACGAGGUAGAUAGGGCAGAGGUGGAAGGGCAGUAAUGUCCGGAGCUGACUGUUACUAAUCGGUCGAGGGCUUGAUC